AUCUUAGAAAAAGAAAUAUAAAGUUUUGAUUAAAUAUUCGUGGUUUAAUAGAAGGAAUUUAUUCAGAGAAUGUUUAAAAAUAAAAAUGUAAUAGAUCGUUUUUAUUCAUUUACUUUAAGAGGUAUUCUACAGCGACCGAUGAAUUCGUUAUCGUGGCUGCCAGUCGUGGCUGUGACCGCAAUCUCCUUCGCUAAUUUCACCAACCCUCUAACACCCUUUACAUCUUUCACUUUACUCAUUUUUUCAGGAACUGUUUCAGCAGCGUCAAAAUCCCUUAAAUUAAAUUAAAUAAAAUAUAUACAUAUAUUUCACCUUAUCUAAAAAUUGACAUCAUCAUUAUCAAGUAAUACAGCUUUUCAACUUACCACACUUCUAGAAAUAGUACGUCAUUCUCUGGAUCCUCCAGGGGACUAGAAAAAUAAUUGAAAUUAUUUUUAUUUAUAUAAAAAUAAUUGAUUCAAAUUUUUCAAUGAUCUUUUUGACUUGGGUUUCAACUCACAGUUCGAAGUGUUCCUCCCAAACAGGGCUGAGGGUGGACGUUUUUACGGCAGUGUUGUACCUCCUCGUGGGAGCUGAUUCUAAGUAAAGGGCGCAGAAAGGGUCGCUUUUGCCAUUGGCGUCUUUGGA